ensembl:lncRNA
UUCCUCUCUCUGCCAAAAGACUCAAUUGGGCUGGCGGCGGAAGAGGAGAGGAAAAUAAAUUGUCAUGACGCCUCCCUUGACCCCCCCCCCACACACACCCACCCACACCCCACACACACACUUGAAGGUCACCUACCUGCAGCAAUUACUGAGUGGCCCCUGGUCCUUGGCCUUAUUCCCCAGAGGGUGGUUACUAGUAGGGAGCUGGGGGGCUAUAGAGCUGGAGGCUGGCUAAGAUGAAGGAAGAGAGACUAUGGCUGGGAGGCUGAAAACAUAAUGGCUGGCUGGGAGACUGGGAGGCUGAAAACACAAUGGCUGGCUGGGAGACUGGGAGGCUGAAAACAUAAUGACUGGCUGGGAGACUGGGAGGCUGAAAACAUAAUGGCUGGCUGGGAGAUUGGGAGGCUGAAAACAUAAUGACUGGCUGGGAGGCUGAAAACACAAUGACUGGCUGGGAGACUGGGAGGCUGAAAACAUGAUGGGCUGGGAGACUGGGAGGCUGAAAACACAAUGGCUGGCUGGGAGACUGGGAGGCUGAAAACAUAAUGACUGGCUGGGAGACUGGGAGGCUGAAAACAUAAUGGCUGGCUGGGAGACUGGGAGGCUGAAAACAUGACUGGCUGGGAGGGGAGGCUGAAAACACAAUGGCUGGCUGGG